rnacentral:lncRNA from 1 species
AACAACAGAAGGAAUGGUAGAAGAAGAGAGGGGGCAAAGUAGGCUUGCUAUAGCCAGGUCACUUUGAACGAGUCUAGAGGCUUAUGCCUUGAAAGAAGUCAACUUAAUAAAUUCACAGCAAAUAGGCAUAUUCAUACCCUGAUAGUGCCCUCAGAUCAGCUUUCUUACUGGAAAAUAUGGAAAAGAAAAUGAAAGCAAAAAUGGUGAUCUGGUCAAAUGUUGUAAAUGAUCAUUUUCUCAAAGUCUAUCAGAAGUACCCUCUACCUGGAGUUUCCAACAUGGCUCAGUGGAAAUGAAUCGGACUCGCAUCUCUGAGGAUGAAGGUUUGAUCCCUGGCCUCUCUCAGUGUGUUAAGGAUCCAGUGUGCCAUGAGCUGUGGUGUAGACCUCAGAUGUAGCUUGGAUCUGGCAUUACUGUGGAUGGGGUAUAGGCCAGCAGCUACAGCUCCAAUUGGAUCCCUAGCCUGGGAACUUCAUAUGCGAAGGGUGUGGCCCUAAAAAAACAAAAAGGAAAAAAAAAAAAGAAAUAUGCUCUGGGAGUUCUCUUGUGGUGCAGUGGGUUAAGGAUCCUGUGUUGUCACUGCUGUGGUGUGGGUUCGAUCCCUGACCUGAACUUCCACAUGCCUCAGGUGUGGAAAAAAAAUAAAAGAAAAAAGAAAUAAAUAUGCUCUUGACUAAUUAAGAGCUUCUCCUUCGGGUAAAAUUAUGAGGCAGAUAGAGCUGCAGUAAUGUUUAUAUUCUGAUGACUUUGUAAUUGAUCUAACUUUAUUUUCAUAGAAGUUUUGGCUCUUGGUAGAGUCAGCAAGGGGUUGGACCUUAACGAUGUGAUGGUUCUGCUCCAGGAUUCUGGCUUUGUCGGCAGGUGCAUCAGCAGUGGAAAAGGAUCACUUUGAUUUACUGUAUUCAACACUUUGCAUUGUUUUUAGCCAAUAAUAAUCAAGUAAAAUAGAAAUACUUGUAUCCCAGACUUUUCAACUUAACCGACUUUCUUUUUCCUAUUGUAGCCACUCAUCUUUCAACCCUGUGUCACCAGCCUGCUUAUGCCAAUCUCGUCAGUACUUUCUUACCCUCAUGGUGCACAUCUUGGAAUAUUCCUCUCUUUGACACUCCUGGGUUUAUUACUGAUGGGAACCCCUUUCUUCUGGGCGAUGUUCUGCUUCGUCAGAUUUGCAUUCCUGGUGCCCCACUCCUUCUAACUACAGUGUCUCUCCAAGAACAAGUGAAGCGUCUCACCAAGAUCAGGAUGAUGCAGAGAACCAUGGGGUUACCUCGGGGCCCCCUGAUGCAAACAACACAAAAACAGGCUGCAUUUGGCAUGAUCAGAAUCCAGAGAUCGUGGGUGGCCAUCCCAUCAAGGGGAAUUUGCCACUUACUCAGGAGGAGGAUACGCUGUGAGACUUGGAAGAAACUCCAGUCCUGCAGUCAGUCUUACAUUCGUGUUAACACGAGUGAAAGGUGGGACGUUAGAAAUCCUACUUUGCAGGCGGACGAGAUGGGGAAACGCAGCUUCUCACGUGCUGUGUGA